AUCCAGCUGACGAGUCCCAAAUAGGGCGGAACGAGCGUCCUGGAU
rnacentral:hammerhead_ribozyme from 1 species